rnacentral:lncRNA from 1 species
AUGGGUGACAAGGUUUAUAAGGAGGAAAUAAAUGUCAGCAACUCAAUAGUCAAAAAGGCAACAAUCACAAUGCUAGAUGACCAAAGCAAUAACUUUCUGAAGACAACAGGGUUUUCUACCUAUCUGAAGUCACGCUUCAUUUUGGCAUAUCCUUAGAAGAAUAUAGUCUGCCUGGACCCCUGUGUCAUCUCAUGUCAGUUCAGCACUUGGCCCUGGCAGGCAUCUUGCUGUCAUGUACCCUUCCACUUCUAGUAGAUGUGAGUUGUUACAAGAGUCACUUAUCUAUCACAGGCUGCUUUUCAGGCCCUUUGUUUAGAUGAUCGUGUUGUGUCUUUUAAAGCUAAUGUGAGUCUGGUUUAUGAUUCAGGCUUAUGAAACAGCUUUGAAAACCAAAUAUGCCUGUGGAGAGUCAAUU